GAUGAAGAACGUAGCGAAAUGCGAUAAGUAAUGUGAAUUGCAGAAUUCAGUGAAUCAUCGAAUCUUUGAACGCACAUUGCGCCCCCUGGUAUUCCGGGGGGCAUGCCUGUUCGAGCGUCAUUUCACCACUCAAGCCUCGCUUGGUAUUGGGCAACGCGGUCCGCCGCGUGCCUCAAAUCGACCCGCUGGGUCUUCUGUCCCCUAAGCGUUGUGGAAACUAUUCGCUAAAGGGUGUUCGGGAGGCUACGCCGUAAAACAACCCCAUUUCUAAGGUUGACCUCGGAUCAGGUAGGGAUACCCGCUGAACUUAAGCAUAUCAAUAAGCGGAGGA
rnacentral:misc_RNA from 1 species